UACAGAGGUCUCAAGCGUUGUUCGGAUUCAUUGGGCGUAAAGGGUGUGUAGGCGGCGCGGUAAGUCGGGUGUGAAAUUUCGGAGCUUAACUCCGAAACUGCAUUCGAUACUGCCGUGCUUGAGGACUGGAGAGGAGACUGGAAUUUACGGUGUAGCGGUGAAAUGCGUAGAUAUCGUAAGGAAGACCAGUGGCGAAGGCGGCUCUCUAGUACGGUACUGACGCUGAGACGCGAAAGCGUGGGGAGCGAACAGG
rnacentral:rRNA from 1 species